rnacentral:lncRNA from 1 species
CGAUUUCACGUUAUAUUUAUACUGCUGUUAAAGGAUCGGAAAAAAGUCCUAUAAAAGAUGCAGAAAAGGGUAAACACUAAAAUGAAAAAUUGCAUAUUAACGACAAAAUAAAAAACAUACCUUUGUUUUAAACUAUCAGGCUUUGGUUCCACCUGGGAUUUAUAUAAAGGCUAUAACAAAUGAGUAGUGUGAGCAUGUUGAUAGUAAGAGUUUCCUCCUCAUAUUCAUGAUUAUAUGUUUACGCAGUUGUCCCCCAUCAUUAUCAUUCUUUUAUUACUUCCCUUAGUAAGGGGUAUAAAAAAAAUUUCGGGGCGGGGGGGGGGGGGGAUGCACUUGAUUAUUCGACAAUCAUGUGGCAUGCUUAAAAUAAAUCUGCCAAUCCCCCGUCAUGCUUAGACCCUAAUGAGACCCGCUUUAUAUUCAUAACCAUAUGAUUAAACAGUCAGGCUGUGAUGAUCGUCUGAUUAUCGCCCUUAUAGUAUUCAUUACCAUAUGAUUAAACAGUUAGUCUGUGAUGAUUGUCUGAAUAUUGCCGAGAUGAUUGUCUGAUCAUUGCCCUUGUUUAUCAUGAUCAUAUAUAUGACUAAACAGUUAGGCCAUGAUGAUUGUCUGAUUACUGCCCUUGUUUAUCAUGAUCAUAUAUAUGACUAAACAGUUAGGCCGUGAUGAUUGUCUGAUUAUUGCCUUUGUUUAUCAUGAUCAUAUAUAUGACUAAACAGUUAGGCCGUAAUGAUUGUCUGAUUAUUGCCCUUGUUUAUCAUGAUCAUAUAUAUGACUAAACAGUUAGGCCGUGAUGAUUGUCUGAUUAUUGCCAUUUUUUAUCAUGAUCAUAUAUAUGACUAAACAGUUAGGCCGUGAUGAUUGUCUGAUUAUUGCCCUUGUUUAUCAUGAUCAUAUAUAUGACUAAACAGUUAGGCCGUGAUGAUUGUCUAAUAAUUGCACUUGUUUAUCAUGAUGAUAUAUAUGAUUAAACAGUUAGGAUAUGAUGAUUGUUUGAUUAUUGCCUUUAAUAUUCAUUACCAUAUGAUUAAACAGUUAGGCUGUGAUGAUUGUCUGGAUAUUACCUUGAUAAUCAUAAUCGUAUGAUUAAACAGUUAGGCCAUGAUGAUCGCCUGAUUAUUGCACUUCAUAAUCAUGAUCAUAUGAUUAAACAGUUUGGCAAGUACAUGUAUGAUUGUUUGAUUAUUGCCCAUAAUAUUCAUGAUUAUCUGAUUACACAGUUUGACCGUGAUGAUCAUUUGAUUAUUUUCCUUACUAUUCAUGAUUAUCUAAUGUAAGGUUUGUUGCCCUUGAUAUUCACUAAGAACCAUAGAAAAAUACGUAUAUACCGUAUACUAUACUUAAACACAAUAGACAACAAAAUAAGCUUAUAUCCAAGAAUAAUAGACAAUAUAAAAAACCUAUUUCUAGCAACAAUAAACUAUACAUAUAGACUUAAACUAAAAACCAUAGACAAAACAUAUCAUGCAUAUAUCCCUUAUCUAAGAUCAAUAGAUAAUACAUAUAAACUUAACUUAAAAACCAUAGAAAAAACUUAUAGUGCAUAUAUCCUGUAUCUAAGAACCAUAGACAAUACAUUAAAACCUAACCUAAGAACCAGAACCAUAGACAAUACACAUAAAUUAACCUAUGAACCAUAGACUAUACAUAUAGACUCUACCAAAGAACUACAGACAAUACAUAUAGACUUAAGAGGGCCCUCAUGGGGUUUUUGAUUAUGUGAUUACUUGGCCGUGUUUUUAAUGAUUAUUUGAUUAUUAAGCCAAAUAUUUCAUGAUUAUUUGAUUACCUAGGACUGUAUUUUUAGUUUAUGAUUAUUUGAUUACUAAAGAUAAGCAAAUAUUUAAUGAUUAUGUGAUUAUAUUGGCAAAAAAAUGGUUAUUAUGUGAUUACUAGGACCCCCCCAUGAGGGGCCUCACUUAACCUAAGAACCACAGACAAUACUGAAACAACAGAACCAAGAAACCACAAGACAAUAUAGACUUAAGACCUAAGAACCACAGACAAUACAUAUAUACUGAACCUAAGAAACACAGACAAUACAUAUAGACUGAACCUAAGAACCACAGACAAUACAUAUAGACUGAACCUAAGAACCACAGACAACACAUAUAGACAGACCACAGACAUAUAGACUGAACCUAAGAACCACAGACAAUACAUAUAGACUGAACCUAAGAACCACAGACAAUACAUAUAGACUGAACCUAAGAACCACAGACAAUACAUAUAGACUUAACCUAAGAACCUAAAUACUAAACUAAGAACCACAGACAACAUACAUACAGACUGAACCUAAGAACCAUAAACAAUACUCUUAGACUAAACCUAAGAACCAUAGACAAUACACAUAAAUUAAACCUAAGAACCAUAGACUCUACAUAUAGACUCUACCUAAGAACCACAGUCAAUACAUACAGACUGAACCUAAGAACCACAGACAAUACAUAUAGACUAAACCUAAGGACCAUAGACAAUACACAUAAAUUAAACCUAAGAACCAUAGACUACACAUAUAGAUUCUUCCUUGGAACCACAGACAAUACAUAAAGACUGAACUUAAGAACCACAGACAAUACAUAUAGAUUCUUCUUAAGAACCACAGACAAUACAUAUAGACUAAACCUAAGAACCAUAGACAAUACAUAUAGACUAAACAUAAGAAUCAUAGACAAUACACAUAAAUUAAACCUAAGAACCUUAGACUAUACAUAUAGACUCUUCCUUAGAACCACAGACAAUACAUAUUGACUGAACCUAAGAACCACAGACAAUACAUAUAGAUUCUUCUUAAGAACCACAGACAAUACAUAUAGACUAAACCUAAGAACCAUAGACAAUACAUAUAGACUAAACAUAAGAAUCAUACACAAUACACAUAAAUUAAACCUAAGAACCAUAGACUAUACAUAUAGACUCUUCCUUAGAACCACAGACAAAACAUAUAGACUGAACCUAAGAACCACAGACAAUACAUAUAGACUAAACCUAAGAACCACAGACAAUACAUAUAGACUAAACCUAAGAACCACAGACAAUAACAUAUAGACUUAACCUAAGAAAUCAUAGACAAUACACAUAAAUUAAACCUAAGAACCAUAGACUAUACAUAUAGACUCUUCCUUAGAACCACAGACAAUACAUAUAGACUGAACCUAAGAACCACAGAUUAUACAUGUAGAUUUUUCUUAAGAACCACAGACAAUACAUAUAGACUAAACCUAAGAACCACAGACAAUACAUAUAGACUUAACCUAAGAAUCAUAGACAAUACACAUAAAUUAAACCUAAGAACCAUAGACUAUACAUAUAGACUGAACCUAAGAACCACAGAUUAUACAUGUAGAUUCUUCUUAAGAACCACAGACAAUACAUAUAGACUAAACCUAAGAACCAUAGACAAUGCAUAUAGACUAAACCUAAAAACAAUAGACAAUACUCUUAGACUAAACCUAAGAACCAUAGACAAUACACAUAAAUUAAACCUAAGAACCACAGACAAUACAUGUAGACUGAACCAAAGAACCACAGACAAUACAUAUUAACUAAACCUAACAACCACAGACAAUACAUAUAGACUGAACCUUUGAACCUAAGAACCACAUAAGUAUAUACUUAACCUAAGAACCACAGACAAUACAUAUAGACUAAACCUAAGAACCAUAGACAAUACAUAUAGACUUUUCCUUAGAACCACAGACAAUACAUAUAAACUCUUCCUAAGAACCACAGACAAUACACAUAAAUUAAACCUUAGAACCAAAGACUAUACAUAUAGACUCUUCCUUAGAACCACAUACAAUACAUAUAGACUGAACCUUAGAACCACAGACAAUACAUAUAGACUCUUCCUAAGAACCACAGACAAUAUAUAUGGACUGAACCUUAGAACCACAGACUAUUCAUAUAGACUCUACCUAAGAACCAUAGACAAUACAAGUAAAUCACAUAUUUAAACUUUUUAAGUAAUUAUGUAUGAAAACUUUUGUUGAACCACAAAGUUUAAUAUCCAUGUAAAUAUAAUGUUUCCAUUACCAAUAAUAUUUGUUACAUUGAUUUCAAUUAUUUUUCUGCCUUCAGAUUUCAAAGAGACUUGGUUCAUUAAUUCUCAGCUAACAGAUUCACAUUUUAAAGGAUUUGGACACACUCUGUAAGGUCACAUCAGAUGUAUUAGAUACUGGUAUGUAUAAAGACAAAAUCAAUAUUGUUUUAUGUUUGGACUUGGUAAGUGUUCCAUGCUUUAAUUUAUACCCCCAUCAUUUAAGGUUAAAAUUUUCCUUUUUCUCUACAAACCCAAAUGUUUUUGGACAAGAAACAUAGGUAAAGAAAUUAAAAGAUGUGCAGUGAUUGCCACUACAGACAAUACAUAUACACUGAUCCUAAGAACCACAAACAAUACAUAUAGACUAAACCUAAGAACCACAGACAAUACAUAUAGACUAAACCUAAGAACCAUAGACAAUUCACAUAAAUUAAACCUAAGAACCAUAGACUAUACAUAUAGACUCUACCUAAGAACCACAGACAAUACAUAUAGACUGAACCGAAGAACCACAGACAAUACAUAUAAACUAAACCUAAGAACCACAGACAAUACAUAUAGAUACUGAACCUAAGAACCACAGACAAUACAUAUAGACUAAACCUAAGAACCAUAGACAAUACAUAUAGACUCUUCCUUAGAACCACAGACAAUACAUAUAGACUGAACCUAAGAACCACAGACAAUACAUAUAGACUCUUCCUAAGAACCACAGACAAUACAUAUGGACUGAACCUUAGAACCACAGACAAUACAUAUAGACUAAACCUAAGAACCAUAGACAAUACAUGUAGCCUAUACAUAAGAACCACAGACAAUACAUAUAGACUAUAUCUAAGAACCAUAGACAAUACAUACAGACUGAACCUAAGAACCAUAGACUAUCCAUAUAGACUCUACCUAAGAAACAUAGACAAUACAUGUAAAUCACAUAUUUAAACUUUUUAAGUAAUUAUGUAUGAAAACUUUUGUUGAACCACAAAAUUUAAUAUCCAUGUAAAUAUAAUGUUUCCAUUACCAAUAAUAUUUGUUACAUUGAUUUCAAUUAUUUUUCUGUCUUCAGAUUUCCAAGAGACUUGGUUCAUUAAUUCUCAGCUAACAAAUUCACAUUUUAAAGGAUUUGGACACACUCUGUAAGGUCACAUCAGAUGUAUUAGACACUG